CCUACGAGAGGCAGCAGUGGGGAAUAUUGCGCAAUGGGCGAAAGCCUGACGCAGCGACGCCGCGUGAGGGAUGAAGGUUUUCGGAUCGUAAACCUCUGUCAGCAGGGAAGAACGGUCACUGUGCUAAUCAGCAGUGAAUUGACGGUACCUGCAAAGGAAGCACCGGCUAAGUCCGUGCCAGCAGCCGCGGUAAUACGGAGGGUGCGAGCGUUACUCGGAAUUACUGGGCGGAAAGCGCUCGUAGGCGGUAUGGCAAGUCAAGGGUGCAGUCCCCGCGCUCAACGUGGGAACUGCCUUUGAAACUGGCAAACUGGAGUGUGUUAGGGGAUAGUGGAAUUCCAGGUGGAGGAGUGAAAUCCGUAGAUGUCUGGAGGAACAUCAGUGGCGAAGGCGACUAUCUGGCACAUAACUGACGCUGAGGAGCGAAAGUGUGGGUAGCAAACAGGAUUAGAUACCCGGGUAGUC
rnacentral:rRNA from 1 species